AGAGUCGUUUAACAAGAACUCUAGUAAAAUUAGGAAAUGGAAAACAUUUGACCCUUUAGCUUCAUUUAUUUAGUUUUUAUCGAUAAAGGUUCACAAUCGUAAAUAUUUGACCAUUUUUCCUUACUAAUGUUCUUGUCACAUGCUUGAUGCAGACGACCCUUUUGUAAAGUAAGAAGGGACACUAGAAAGUUAAUGGAUUUAUCAUGGAGAACCGGUAAAUUUAGCUCAAUUUCAAAGAGUCAGGACUCCUUUAGCUCCUUCGGCGGAUGAUGGAUUAAGGGAAGAACCUACUGCCCACAAUGAUGAUGAUAAAUUAUUCAAUCUUUUAAAUGAUUUGCAAGAACCGAUGAGAGAAGGGGCAUAUGAUGAAGAUGAAGAAGACUUUGGAGAUGAAAUGCCUUAGAACAUCGAACAAAGGGAUACUUCAAACAUUUUUUAGGAGUUGAUGGAUGAAGCACAUAACCCAAUUUAGUUACAUCUUCCUCACAAAUUGAGAAAGUUAUUGGGAAUAAGUAUGAAAAGCUUGAGGCAGAGGUGGCAAGCAUAAAGGAGGAAAAUGUUAUGUUGAAGUCAAUAGUUUUGGGUUUUCAAGAUCAAUUGACUGAAAUCACAAGAUAGUUAGAUGCGCAACAAAAGCAAGGAGAUGAAUCUUCGAACAACUAGGUUGUUCGUGUAAAUUCUUAAAGAUCAUUUUUUGGAGAUUGCAAGAAGAUUUUGUGAGAUGACUACUUAGUUUGGUUUAGUAUCUCACUUAUUUUGGCUUUUAGUAUUUUGGCUUAUGGAAGAUUAAACUUUUUUUGGUAUAUGGGAUUUGUAAGAAGUUAGAAAAACUCAA